ensembl:ncRNA T08G5.18 ncRNA
UUCGAUAUUUUUCAGGGCCGCGCGCACGCAGCCCCGAUACGCAAAAAUAAAGCUGUUGGCGAAUCUCAACUCGAGACUGCCACACAGGUCAGCCCGCCCAAAAGUGCAAUGGGUAGGCCUCACCAUGGGGAUUCCGCCUUCUUGAUCGCGAAAUAACCCCCAGCCAGGUAAGUUUGUGAG